CGAAAGCCUGACGGAGCAACGCCGCGUGAGGGACGAAGGCCUCUGGGCUGUAAACCUCUUUUCUCAAGGAAGAAGAUAUGACGGUACUUGAGGAAUAAGCCACGGCUAAUUCCGUGCCAGCAGCCGCGGUAAUACGGGAGUGGCAAGCGUUAUCCGGAAUUAUUGGGCGUAAAGCGUCCGCAGGCGGCCUUUCAAGUCUGCUGUUAAAGCGUGGAGCUUAACUCCAUUAUGGCAGUGGAAACUGAUCGGCUUGAGUAUGGUAGGGGCAGAGGGAAUUCCCGGUGUAGCGGUGAAAUGCGUAGAUAUCGGGAAGAACACCAGUGGCGAAGGCGCUCUGCUGGGCCAUUACUGACGCUCAUGGACGAAAGCCAGGGGAGCGAAAG
rnacentral:rRNA from 1 species